rnacentral:rRNA from 1 species
AGAGUUUGAUCCUGGCUCAGGAUGAACGCUAGCGAUAGGCUUAACACAUGCAAGUCGAGGGGUAACAUGGGAGUAGCUUGCUACUUCUGAUGACGACCGGCGGAUGGGUGAGUAACGCGUAUGCAACUUGCCUCUUAGUGGGGAAUAACCCGGAGAAAUCCGGACUAAUACCGCAUACACUUAGUUGUCCGCAUGGAUGAUUAAGGAAAGAUUUAUUGCUAAGAGAUAGGCAUGCGUUCCAUUAGUUAGUUGGUGAGGUAACGGCUCACCAAGGCAUCGAUGGAUAGGGGAGCUGAGAGGCUUAUCCCCCACAUUGGGACUGAGACACGGCCCAAACUCCUACGGGAGGCAGCAGUGAGGAAUAUUGGUCAAUGGAGGAAACUCUGAACCAGCCAAGUCGCGUGAAGGAUGACUGUCCUAUGGAUUGUAAACUUCUUUAGUAGGCGAGUAAACGUAGGUACGAGUACCUACCUGCAAGUAGCCUAAGAAUAAGUAUCGGCUAACUCCGUGCCAGCAGCCGCGGUAAUACGGAGGAUACGAGCGUUAUCCGGAUUUAUUGGGUUUAAAGGGUGCGUAGGUGGCAGAUUAAGUCAGUGGUGAAAAGCUGUGGCUCAACCAUAGUCUUGCCGUUGAAACUGGUUUGCUUGAGUACAGUUGAUGUAGGCGGAAUGCGUAGUGUAGCGGUGAAAUGCAUAGAUAUUACGCAGAACUCCGAUUGCGAAGGCAGCUUACAAAAGUGUAACUGACACUGAUGCACGAAAGCGUGGGUAUCAAACAGGAUUAGAUACCCUGGUAGUCCACGCCGUAAACUAUGAUUACUCAGAGUAUGCGAUAUAAUGUAUGCUCUCAAGCGAAAGCAUUAAGUAAUCCACCUGGGGAGUACGUCGGCAACGAUGAAA